CUUAAAGCCAUAUGCGAGUCAAGGAGUCUCAAGACGUCGGCAUACGGCUCAGUAACACGUAGGUAACCUACCCUCAGGACGGAGAUAACCCCGGGAAACUGGGGCUAAUAUCCCAUAGAUAAAAGAUACUGGAAUGCUCUCUAUUCAAAGCUUUGCGCCGCAGGAUGGGUCUGCGUCCGAUUAGGUUGUUGGUGGGGUAAUGGCCCAACAGCCUGCGAUCGGUACGGGCAGUGGGAGCGAAGCCCGGAGUUGGGGAUUUAGACAAGGCACCAGGCCCUUCGGGGCGCCGCAGGCGCGAAACAUCUGCAAUGCGGGAAACUGUGACAGAGGGAUCCCAAGUGCUCAUGCAUUGCGUGGGGUGUUCCAUGGUCUAAGUAACCAGAGGAAUAAGGCGUGCACAAGACCGGUCCCAGCCGCCGCUAUAAUACCGGCAGCUCAAGUUGUACCCUCGUUUAUUGGGCAUAAAAUCUUUGUAGCCGGAUAAAUAUGUCUUGGGAAAAAUCUUGGGUCUCAACCGUGGGAAUUCUGGAGAUACUGCUUCUUUUGAGACCGGGAGAGGUAGGAGUUAUUCAUAGGGUAGGGGUGAAUUCCUGUAAUCCUAGGGGGACCCCCUGUGGGGAAGGCUUCCAAUUGGAACGGUUCUGACGGUGAGGGACGAAACCUAGGGGAGCGAGCCGGAUUAGAUACCCGGGUAGUCCUAGGCGUAAAUGAUGCGAGUUAAGUGUGGGGGCAUCCACGAGAUGGCCCUGUGCUGUAGGGUAGUCGUUAAACUUGCUGCCUGGGGAGUACGGUCGCAAGGCUGAAACUUAAAGGAAUUGGCGGGGGAGCACCACAACAGGUGGAGGCUGCGGUUUAAUCGGACUCAACGCCGGAAAACUCAUCGGGAAAGACAGCAGAAUGAUAGCCAGGUUGAUGACUUUGCUUGACAAGCUGAGAGGAGGUGCAUGGCCGUCGUCAGUCGUACUAAGNUCU
rnacentral:rRNA from 1 species